rnacentral:misc_RNA from 1 species
CGCACAUUGCGCCCGCCAGUAUUCUGGCGGGCAUGCCUGUUCGAGCGUCAUUUCAACCCUCAAGCCCCAGCGGCUUGGUGUUGGGGACCGGCCGCAAGGCCGCCCCCUAAAUGCAGUGGCGACCUCGCCGCAGCCUCCCCUGCGUAGUAGCACAACCUCGCACCGGAGCGCGGAGACGGUCACGCCGUAAAACGCCCAACUUUCUUAGAGUUGACCUCGGAUCAGGUAGGAAUACCCGCUGAACUUAA